ACGUAAAAUGCGCACAAACCCACUUUAAACCAAAAAAUCAAUAAAGGGGAGGCCCCAUAUUUCCCUGAUUAGGUUUACUUGACCGUGAAUACAUGCAUCUCUCUCUUUCACAAGGAAAAAGAUAAAGUCGUUAUAAUAGUUAUACCUCUCCGCUUUAUUCAUCACAGUACCCUUGGAAGUUCGAUGGUGUUUCGCAAUAAGUCAGUGUCGUCGCACUUGGGAACGCGUUGAGAGUGUAGAGUGUGCGUGUAAAUUCAGUUUAAUUUGUGUUUACCUACUUUUUUCUUCCAAUUUUGGUGUGUUUUAAUUUAAAGACUAUUAUUUUGUGUGUGUUUGUUACUACUAACGUAUUAAAGAUGUCGCCAAAGAAAUUAGGUACGAAAGGGCAAAUAAUACAUAGCCAGGGAAGAGAAAUUAUUGCCAAUGUAGCAGAGUUUAUGCAUAAAGAGGCAGAAGAAGGAUUAACUAUUCCUUUAAAACGCUUUAGAGAACGUACGUUGGCUGCUACAAAAAUAUCGAAAGUUACCUACCAAAAAAUAUUGAAGGAGUCGGCCAAUAUAAAAAAUAACCCCUCUUGUUCAUUCAGCAGUCCAAGAAAAAAGAGGCCCAGGAAAUCACG